rnacentral:rRNA from 1 species
CACGUAGGGUGCGAGCGUUGUCCGGAAUUAUUGGGCGUAAAGAGCUCGUAGGCGGUGUGUCGCGUCGGCCGUGAAAACCUGCAGCUUAACUGUGGGCUUGCGGUCGAUACGGGCAUCACUGGAGUUCGGCAGGGGAGACUGGAAUUCCUGGUGUAGCGGUGAAAUGCGCAGAUAUCAGGAAGAACACCCGUGGCGAAAGCGGCUCUCUGGGACGGUACUGACGCUGAGACGCGAAAGCGUGGGGAGCGAACAGG